rnacentral:rRNA from 1 species
UACGGGGGGAGCAAGCGUUGUUCGGAUUUACUGGGCGUAAAGGGCGCGUAGGCGGCCACGUGCGUCCGUUGUGAAAUCGCCCGGCUCAACUGGGCGGGGUCAGCGGAUACGGCGUGGCUGGAGCAAGCUAGGGGGCAAUGGAAUUCCCGGUGUAGUGGUGGAAUGCGUAGAUAUCGGGAGGAACACCAGUGGCGAAGGCGGUUGCCUGGAGCUUUGCUGACGCUGAUGCGCGAAAGCGUGGGGAGCGAUCCGG